rnacentral:rRNA from 1 species
CUGGCGGCGUGCCUAAUACAUGCAAGUCGAACGGUCUUUCUAUGGAAGCUUGCUUCCACUGAGAAGAUAGUGGCGAACGGGUGAGUAACACGUGGGUAACCUGCCCAUAAGAGGGGGAUAACAUCCGGAAACGGGUGCUAAUACCGCAUAGUUUUCUUGAUUGCAUGAUUGAGAAAGGAAAGACGGCCUUUGUGCUGUCGCUUAUGGAUGGACCCGCGGCGUAUUAGUUAGUUGGUGAGGUAACGGCUCACCAAGACGAUGAUACGUAGCCGACCUGAGAGGGUGAUCGGCCACAUUGGGACUGAGACACGGCCCAAACUCCUACGGGAGGCAGCAGUAGGGAAUCUUCCGCAAUGGACGAAAGUCUGACGGAGCAACGCCGCGUGAGUGAAAGAAGGUUUUUCGGAUCGUAAAACUCUGUUGCCAGAGAAGAACAAGUUGGAGAGUAACUGCUCCAGCCUUGACGGUAUCUGACCAGAAAGCCACGGCUAACUACGUGCCAGCCGCCGC